GUUUAUUAAAUGUAUUAAAGGUAUAGAUAAUCGAUCUACAUAUUAUAACCUGCAGUACCUAUACGGUCAGUAUGCCUAUAACAUCGAUAUUGACCAUUUCAAAAUUUAAGAUUUAGUGUUUUAAUUUGAAACCUUUUGUAGAGAAUAUGUACCGAUCACUUCAGUGGAUGUAGACAGUUCGUUUUCAAUGUACAAACAUAUUCUGUCAAACAAUAGAGUCAGUUUCACUACUUCAAACCUAAGGAAAUACACGAAGGACCUAUGGACAAAAUGGGUAGAAUAAUAUACGCAUUGGACAAUUACUACAGAAGAGGAGCUAAUCAGCUAAGUUAUAAAAUGAUUUCGUUGCGAUUUUCACACAAAAUAUAUAAUUUAUGCCGUAGCUAUAGUUUUAAACGUGAACUCGAACACUUUUAAAAUACCAAAAACAUUUGUCAAUCAAUCCAGAACUGUCACACUGCUGUUCCACGUAUACGUAAUAGCCAAUAGGUAUACUACACCAGCCGUGACAAAAUAUGCAGUCAUAACAUGAAUGUAUAUUGAUGUACAAGUGUACAACAAGCGUGUGCGACUUGGAGCGAUAUACCAUUUAUACACGAUUCUAUAAUAGCUAUUAAUAGCCAAUAGGUCAAUUGCAACCCACCGGAUUUUAGGGGAAGCAGACAGUUACCACUUGCAAUAGUAUUCGGGGACAACCAAUAGCUACCUAUCACAAUAUAAUAUGACAAGUAUGUCAAUAUGUCAUGUGACUUUAAAGUUUUAACUAAACUUUUUUUUGAUUCAUGUAAGAUCAAGUUUAGGGAUUUUGUAUUAUAUAUUUUCAAAUCUCAGGUAUCAAAAUCGAACAUUUUAUGCAUUGUGGUAUUGAAAACGGAUUUAAACGUCUUAACGUAUUUAUGGUUUAGAUCCUAUGAACAACUUUUUUCCGUUUUUUAUCUUAAAAAGCUUCGUUGUUGUUGUUGUUGUUGUAUAUGCAAAAACGUAUACUACAUUUGUACAUUUUUAAAAUCAAAUGUUGAUUAGUAAAGUUGUUAAAAAACCACAAGCAGGUAUUUUAUUAAGAUCUAAACAACUAACAAGACAAUACGAUGAAUCCAAGUUUGUUUUCAAAAUCCAUAUCGUAUAAUUAAAUCGAUUAACAUUCAGUAUAUGUACCAUGUACGUAAGAUAUUGAAAAUAAGGUUCGUAUAGCAUGCAAAACAGUGUGUUUCGAAUCUCGUAGUGUUGUUUUAAAACGUUCUAUCGCUGUACGCUGUUUUUAAUAAUUGUAUUAAUCGAUGGUAAAAUAUAUCGUUAAAAUUGAACACAAUAAUUUAUAAUAUUCAGAUAACAAAUUUAUAGGUAAUAAUUAAUGUCUAUCACUUAGAAUUUCAAAAUCGACUUAACGAACGACCUUAAUGAAAAACACCUAUAUUAAAUGCCCAUCAUAAAUAACUUGUCUGUCAGUCCAACAAAAAUAAUAAGUACCUAUAGUAUUGGUAGAUAUCUACGUCGUAAUAUAAUAACGAUUCAUUAACCUCCACCGUGGAUCGC